AAUCAAAACGACGCAUGAUAAUAAGACCAUUGUCAUGCAUUGGGGCGAAACACGAGCGCACAAUGGGCGGGAAAUUUUGAAUAGCUGAGUGGAGCAGGCGAGAGUGCACAGCAAUCAACAACAACAGCAUAUGCCGAGAGAAGUGACAUGUUCUUCAAUAACAAAACAUCCGACGGAUUUUAUUUCCCUGAUAUUACUGCGUAUGAGACAGAGGAAAACGAUAGAAACUUCAGGAAGUGAAUUUGGGAAACAUUAGUUUGGUGGUAACCAUGCAGUACAAGAUUGAACCUGCAUGGUGUCGACCAAGACUUCUCCAACCCAGUCCGUGCAUAUCCAAGGAUCUUCAACAUGUUCAAGGUGGGAUCUCGGCCUACAUGUACGCUCGAAUACACAUCACAAUCCAUGCAGAUGGGUCUGGUGGAUAGCAGAAUGUUGCAUGGAAGGCAUCCGCGGUGGUUAUCUUCUGACGGGAUAUGGCCAGCUCUGUCGUGUCCCGGCCAAUUCGAUUUCCAGCCAGUUUUCAGAGAUCGAGGAAUAAGCUGACGAUGAGACCAUGCUGAUACCAUGAUUUGAAAGUUCACCUGAUGCAGUCUCAUCAUGGUGAGGAGCCGGUGGUCAAGGACAGGUCAAGGAUCCCGUUAUUGGUCUUCUGCCUGCCUGCGAUCGAGUCCGAGGAACUUUACGUUUCAUGUUGUACAGAAAUGUUCUCGAAGAGGAAAGGGUUGUUUUCCAAUCAGGAUGUGCUUUUUAGGGUCUUUUACUCACCAUAAAAAAAAAUACGGUAUACGAUGGCAAGUUAUUGGGCACUGUUAGAGCAAUUAAUUUUCAAGAGCCAGUACUGAAAUACAUAUUUUCUUCUAAAACUUGACCAUGUCUGGAAUGUUAGGAUAGAAAUGACUGUCUUUGUUUCUCUUCCCCUCCUCCCAUUUCAAGCCCACAUAUAUGCAUCUUUAUUCUCAGGGCCCUGGGGAAGAUUUUUUAUUGAAUUCAAUAGAAAAUGGAAGUCAAAAUGGUCUCAAGAAAUUUGACCCCCCCCCCCCAAAAAAAAAAAAAAGGUUUUCACUACUAAUUGAAAAUCAGAUUGGUCCCCAGAAAAUUUGAAAAGCUAAAAAAAAAUAUAUAUAUAAAAAGAGGGGUUACCCUAUUUUUCCAUUUUUUUCACAUCUUCCAAAAUACCUGGGGUGUGCCUCCAGCACUCCUGCUUCCCAGGGCCAUGUUUAUUCUUAGCCAUCUUUAGGCCCUUACCAAUCAACACUGAUAAUUAAAAUGUGAUUAUUUAAAAACUGAAAGCAUUAGAAGACGAUAACUUUACUUUUAAACAAAUAGUGAGGUAUUCUGUCCAAAAUGCCCUCUCCGAAUUUGUUAGUUUUAAGCAUAGUUAUAGGACUUUACUUGAUAUUACAGCAUUUUUGUCUCUAUGAAACUGGUAUAUGCAACUAACUUAGAAUGAUUAGUAAAGGACAAAACAAUGAGACAGCUACUUGAUUACCCUGAUUGUAAAACAACCCUAAAUUAUUACAGUAGAAUUCGAUCGCUGGAACAAAACAAAUCUGAUCAACCAUAUCAGCCCACUUUCCUUUCACGAAUGCGGUAUACUGUUAGGCAAUCUGUUUUUAUGACGUUACUCAGACGAGGUAACUCAACCUUUCUCUAUAUUGUAAGCGGGAAAUAAUUCUGCUUUAGUUAGGCCUAUUUAACAUUCUUGGGAACAACGUAAAGUUAUAAAGGAGAAGGGGGACAUUAAGCCAUUUUGUAUUUCCAUGUCAUUUAUGUAUAUCUUUAAAGAUUGUUUUAGGCUUUAGGGGGAGGGCUUUUAACUUAACUUAUUAACUUAACUUAAAAUAACUUAUUUACUUCCCUUGGAUUUUAGAAACGCCCUCUGUGAUCCAUGGUCAGGUUUUUUAGCGACUUUUAAAGAACAGUGUUUCGUAAAGCCAAACAAUUCAACAGGCCCUUUUUAAAUGGGUUACACCUUGGAUAUUCAUUCAUUGGAAGUAAGAAACAUCUCUCAAUCUGAACCAUUAAUUGAUUUAGUUUUCAUAAUCUCUAGUUUGGCUGUUUGGAAUGUAACAUAUCUGAUAUGCUUCAUAGGUCAGGUCCACCCCACAACAAAAAGUGGAGUUGUAUUUGAAAUAAAGAAAUUUCAAACGAGCAUAAUAGUGAAAUUUCAUGAAAUUGGAUGUAAAAGUUAUGAAAUUAUAAAUUUUUAGCUUAUUUUCACAAAACAAUUUUAUGCUCAAAAGGGAUCAUAUGUAAAUGAAAGAGUAGAUGUUGUCACACUCUUAUUUCAUUUGUAUUUAUUAUGAGACAUAACCUAUUUCAAUUUCAGAAGAAUUGACAAUUAGAAUCAUUGAAUAACUAAAUAUUGCGAGAAUGGCAAUCUCAUACAAGAGGAAUCUAUUCUUGUUUCAUAUCAUAAACAGGAAAAUGUCAAGAAAAAUCAUUAUUCACAUAAUAAUAAAAUACAAACGAAAUCAGGAAUUUGAGACGCCAUUUAAGUUCCCUAAUUUGCAUACUGACCAGAAUAAAAAGCUAAAGUUUAAAAUGCCAUAGCUUUCUUAUCUCAUAUCAGAUUAUGAUGCAAUUUUGGUCACAUUGGUCGAGACAUUUCUGAGAUACACUUGGAAAAUCUGAAAUACAUGUAUAAAGUUCCUCUGCAAGUGACAUUGUACAAACUUUAAGAAUUUGUUAUUUUGCCUGGUGGGUGGUUUCAUGAAGUCGUUCGUAAGUUACGACCGACUUUACGCCUGACUGGUGACCCUUUCUUGUGCUAUAUUUUAUAUCAAUGUGUAGCUGACUUAGCACCUAAGAACUUGCUCUAGUCAUACAUAAAGUCGCGCGUAAUAACUUUACAAAGAGCUAAAUGAAACAUCCAUCUGGGCCCCGUCUUACAAAGUGUUACGAUUGAUCUCAUCAAACACACAACUACAUGUAUGGAAAGCCACUAACGUCAACAUCUAAAAAUGCAUGUUUGUUCAAAAUAUUUUCUUGAUAUGUAUAUUCAUACAUUCAUUGUUUUCUUAAAUAUUUAGUGUGCUUGUCUUUGCUUACAAAGGACUUUGUUCAAGUUUCCUGUGGAAAAAAUUUGUCAUUGAUGGAUUAUCAUAAUGUAGUUGAGGUUGAUCGGAUCAAUUGUAACUCUUUUUUAGGCUGGGCCAUGGACAGUAAAUAAUUGUGUUACACCUCGUUUUUUGGCUUCUUGUAUUUAUUCUUGUACUCGGUUUUAUUUAGAACUAGUCCCCCAUCACUCCCCCUUUCAGACCUCUCUCUUUCUAUUUCUUCUCCACCCUCUAUCUCUCUCUCCCUCUCUCUUUCUCUUCUCCGUCUGUCUCUCUCUCUUCUCCCUAUUCUUCCCCUUCUCUCUCUUUUAAAGGUACUUUCACAUUUUGGUUGUGCGAGCAAAGCAUCACACAAAAGGGAAACCCGGAUUCUCAGUUUUAGGGGGAUUAUUUUUUUAAACAAUGGCAACCGAUGUAUGAUCUUUCAUUGACAUCAUGAUUUUUUAUCUUCUUUACGUCUAAUAUUAUCGUUAUUUCACACAUAUUAAUAUAUCGUCAAAACUUAUUUCAAGAUGUAAUAUAUAUCACUAAAACAGGUUUCCUUUUUGUGUGACGCUCUGUACUAACAACCCUUGGAAAUAGAGUGAACUUCAUAAAAUGCAUUUUACAUUAUUAAGCCUAUAGC